rnacentral:piRNA from 1 species
UAAGUACCUGUUUCGUCUAUGUGGGC